GCGUCUACCUCUGGCUAGAAUUAAAAUGAAUUUUCUUCUGACCGUGAUUGUUCUAUUGGCUGUAACUGAAAGGAUGAAAGCCGAUGAAGCUAGUUGUACGGAAGCUACAUCAACCUGUUUAUUAUCUAAUGUCAUGGUUGAAUCAGCUACAACAUGCAGUGAAAGGGAACCGUAUUUUAAAUGUUUAAGGGAUAAAGGCUGUCAAGUGGGUUUCAGUAGCUACGACGAG